rnacentral:rRNA from 1 species
AUUGGAAACUGGGAGACUUGAGUGCAGAAGAGGACAGUGGAACUCCAUGUGUAGCGGUGAAAUGCGUAGAUAUAUGGAAGAACACCAGUGGCGAAGGCGGCUGUCUGGUCUGUAACUGACGCUGAGGCUCGAAAGCAUGGGUAGCGAACAGGAUUAGAUACCCUGGUAGUCCAUGCCGUAAACGAUGAUUACUAAGUGUUGGAGGGUUUCCGCCCUUCAGUGCUGCAGCUAACGCAUUAAGUAAUCCGCCUGGGGAGUACGACCGCAAGGUUGAAACUCAAAAGAAUUGACGGGGGCCCGCACAAGCGGUGGAGCAUGUGGUUUAAUUCGAAGCUUACGCGAAGAACCUUACCAGGUCUUGACAUCUUCUGCCAACCUAAGAGAUUAGGCGUUCCCUUCGGGGACAGAAUGACAGGUGGUGCAUGGUUGUCGUCAGCUCGUGUCGUGAGAUGUUGGGUUAAGUCCCGCAACGAGCGCAACCCUUAUUACUAGUUGCCAGCAUUCAGUUGGGCACUCUAGUGAGACUGCCGGUGACAAACCGGAGGAAGGUGGGGACGACGUCAAAUCAUCAUGCCCCUUAUGACCUGGGCUACACACGUGCUACAAUGGAUGGUACAACGAGUCGCGAAACCGCGAGGUUUAGCUAAUCUCUUAAAACCAUUCUCAGUUCGGACUGUAGGCUGCAACUCGCCUACACGAAGUCGGAAUCGCUAGUAAUCGCGGAUCAGCAUGCCGCGGUGAAUACGUUCCCGGGCCUUGUACACACCGCCCGUCACACCAUGAGAGUUUGUAACACCCAAAGCCGGUGGGGUAACCUUUUAGGAGCUAGCCGUCUAAGGUG